rnacentral:sRNA from 1 species
UUUUGCUUUUUUAUUUCCCACCAAAACUAAUGAUUUUCCAUGGAUCCAAAGGUAAACACAUUUUGGAGAAGGUAAACACAUUUGUUUUGGAGAAUUCCUUCAGGCGUAAAUAUUGCUUUUAGCGGUAAAAGAGGCUCAAUCGUGGCAGGAAGCUCAAUUCGAGCUCCAUAGUGAAAGUCAUGGUUCUUUGUCUAUAGAUAAUCGAAUUCGGGUGAGGGAUGUAUCACAAGAUACAACUUUUUCUGGCUAUCGGUGUUUUAUUGAUGGAUCUUGGAAAGCAAGUGACCAGUUCUCAGGAACAGGAUGGUUCUGUCUAUCAUCUCUUGGAGAGUCGCCAACCAUGGGAGCCGUCAACGUUCGUAGAAGCCUAUCUCCUCUACAUACCGAAAUGGAAGCUCUUCUUUGGGCGAUGAAGUGCAUGAUUGGAGCAGAUAACCAGAACGUAGCUUUCUUUACAGACUGUUCAUGUCACGUAUGUAAACAAUAUCCCGGAUUGACUCUUUUGAGUUUUAAUUUAUAUCGGUUGAAAAAAAAA